CAAAUCUCCAAGUUUCACAACAACAAGCUUCUACUUAUGGCCCUUUGGGAUCAUUUCUAGGGAAACCCGAGCAAAAUCCUAAGGGGCACUUGAAUGUUGUGAUAUCCCGAAGCGGUAAGCAAGUGGUUAGUUAUAAUGAGAGAGACAAAGAGGUUAAGAAGAGUGAACCAACACCACCGGAAAAUGAGGUUGUUGAAGAG
rnacentral:lncRNA from 1 species